rnacentral:rRNA from 1 species
UACAGAGGAUGCAAGCGUUAUCCGGAAUGAUUGGGCGUAAAGCGUCUGUAGGUGGCUUUUUAAGUCCGCCGUCAAAUCCCAGGGCUCAACUCUGGACAGGCGGUGGAAACUACCAAGCUGGAGUACGGUAGGGGCAGAGGGAAUUUCCGGUGGAGCGGUGAAAUGCGUAGAUAUCGAGAGGAACACCAGAGGUGAAGACGGGUUGCUGGGCCGACACUGACGCUGACAGCGCGAAAGCCAGGGGAGCAAACGGG